CCCUUAGAUGUUCUGGGCUGCACGCGCGCUACACUGAAGCGUUCAACGAGUAUUCACCUUGCCCGGGAGGGUUGGGUAAUCUUUUGAAAACGCUUCGUGAUGGGGAUAGAUUAUUGCAAUUAUUAAUCUUCAACGAGGAAUUCCUAGUAAGCGCGAGUCAUCAGCUCGUGCUGAUUACGUCCCUGCCCUUUGUACACACCGCCCGUCGCUCCUACCGAUUGAGUUAUCCGGUGAAUAAUUCGGACUGCAGCACUGCUUGGUCUCCAGGCUUUGCAGCGGAAAGUUUAGUGAACCUUAUCACUUAGAGGAAGGAGAAGUCGUAACA
rnacentral:rRNA from 1 species